UACGAAGGGGACUAGCGUUGUUCGGAUUUACUGGGCGUAAAGCGCGCGUAGGCGGAUCGCUAAGUCAGGGGUGAAAUCCCAGGGCUCAACCCUGGAACUGCCUUUGAUACUGACGAUCUGGAGAUCGGGAGAGGUUGGUGGAAUUCCGAGUGUAGAGGUGAAAUUCGUAGAUAUUCGGAGGAACACCAGAAGCGAAGGCGGCCAACUGGCCCGAUACUGACGCUGAGACACGAAAGCGUGGGGAGCAAACAGG
rnacentral:rRNA from 1 species